rnacentral:rRNA from 1 species
UACAGAGGGCGCAAGCGUUGUUCGGAUUCAUUGGGCGUAAAGGGUGCGUAGGUGGCUUGGCAAGUCUGGGGUGAAAUCCUGGGGCUCAACCCCGGAACUGCACUGGAUACUGCUUUGCUAGAGUACUGGAGAGGGAACUGGAAUUUACGGUGUAGCAGUGAAAUGCGUAGAUAUCGUAAGGAAGACCAGUGGCGAAGGCGAGUUACUGGACAGUUACUGACACUGAGGCGCGAAGGCCAGGGGAGCAAACGGG